ensembl:miRNA Mir6920 microRNA 6920
UUCCUACACAAUGGAAAGACUGCUUGUAGAUGGCGCCAUGUCUAUAUACACUGCCCUUUUCCAUUGCCUAG